GAUGAACGCUGGCGGCGUGCCUAAUACAUGCAAGUCGAGCGAACGGACGAGAAGCUUGCUUCUCUGAUGUUAGCGGCGGACGGGUGAGUAACACGUGGAUAACCUACCUAUAAGACUGGGAUAACUUCGGGAAACCGGAGCUAAUACCGGAUAAUAUUUUGAACCGCAUGGUUCAAAAGUAAAAGACGGUCUUGCUGUCACUUCUAGAUGGAUCCGCGCUGCAUUAGCUAGUUGGUAAGGUAACGGCUUACCAAGGCAACGAUGCAUAGCCGACCUGAGAGGGUGAUCGGCCACACUGGAACUGAGACACGGUCCAGACUCCUACGGGAGGCAGCAGUAGGGAAUCUUCCGCAAUGGGCGAAAGCCUGACGGAGCAACGCCGCGUGAGUGAUGAAGGUCUUCGGAUCGUAAAACUCUGUUAUUAGGGAAGAACAUAUGUGUAAGUAACUGUGCACAUCUUGACGGUACCUAAUCAGAAAGCCACGGCUAACUACGUG
rnacentral:rRNA from 1 species